rnacentral:rRNA from 2 species
CGAACGAACUCUGGUAUUGAUUGGUGCUUGCAUCAUGAUUUACAUUUGAGUGAGUGGCGAACUGGUGAGUAACACGUGGGAAACCUGCCCAGAAGCGGGGGAUAACACCUGGAAACAGAUGCUAAUACCGCAUAACAACUUGGACCGCAUGGUCCGAGCUUGAAAGAUGGCUUCGGCUAUCACUUUUGGAUGGUCCCGCGGCGUAUUAGCUAGAUGGUGGGGUAACGGCUCACCAUGGCAAUGAUACGUAGCCGACCUGAGAGGGUAAUCGGCCACAUUGGGACUGAGACACGGCCCAAACUCCUACGGGAGGCAGCAGUAGGGAAUCUUCCACAAUGGACGAAAGUCUGAUGGAGCAACGCCGCGUGAGUGAAGAAGGGUUUCGGCUCGUAAAACUCUGUUGUUAAAGAAGAACAUAUCUGAGAGUAACUGUUCAGGUAUUGACGGUAUUUAACCAGAAAGCCACGGCUAACUACGUGCCAGCAGCCGCGGUAAUACGUAGGUGGCAAGCGUUGUCCGGAUUUAUUGGGCGUAAAGCGAGCGCAGGCGGUUUUUUAAGUCUGAUGUGAAAGCCUUCGGCUCAACCGAAGAAGUGCAUCGGAAACUGGGAAACUUGAGUGCAGAAGAGGACAGUGGAACUCCAUGUGUAGCGGUGAAAUGCGUAGAUAUAUGGAAGAACACCAGUGGCGAAGGCGGCUGUCUGGUCUGUAACUGACGCUGAGGCUCGAAAGUAUGGGUAGCAAACAGGAUUAGAUACCCUGGUAGUCCAUACCGUAAACGAUGAAUGCUAAGUGUUGGAGGGUUUCCGCCCUUCAGUGCUGCAGCUAACGCAUUAAGCAUUCCGCCUGGGGAGUACGGCCGCAAGGCUGAAACUCAAAGGAAUUGACGGGGGCCCGCACAAGCGGUGGAGCAUGUGGUUUAAUUCGAAGCUACGCGAAGAACCUUACCAGGUCUUGACAUACUAUGCAAAUCUAAGAGAUUAGACGUUCCCUUCGGGGACAUGGAUACAGGUGGUGCAUGGUUGUCGUCAGCUCGUGUCGUGAGAUGUUGGGUUAAGUCCCGCAACGAGCGCAACCCUUAUUAUCAGUUGCCAGCAUUAAGUUGGGCACUCUGGUGAGACUGCCGGUGACAAACCGGAGGAAGGUGGGGAUGACGUCAAAUCAUCAUGCCCCUUAUGACCUGGGCUACACACGUGCUACAAUGGAUGGUACAACGAGUUGCGAACUCGCGAGAGUAAGCUAAUCUCUUAAAGCCAUUCUCAGUUCGGAUUGUAGGCUGCAACUCGCCUACAUGAAGUCGGAAUCGCUAGUAAUCGCGGAUCAGCAUGCCGCGGUGAAUACGUUCCCGGGCCUUGUACACACCGCCCG